GCCGCGGUGGCGGAACUGGUAGACGCGCUAGUUUCAGGGACUAGUGGCCUCCGGGUCGUGGGAGUUCGAGUCUCCCCCGCGGCA
rnacentral:tRNA from 1 species